AUACGAAUGGAGCGAGCGUUGUUCGGAAUCAUUGGGCGUAAAGCGUAUGUAGGCGGACUAGAAAGUCAGAAGUGAAAUCCCGAGGCUCAACCUCGGAAUUGCUUUUGAAACUCCUAGUCUAGUGUCCCGGAGGGGUUGACGGAAUUCCUAGUGUAGAGGUGAAAUUCGCAGAUAUUAGGAGGAACACCAGUGGCGUAGGCGGUCAACUGGACGGGUACAGACGCUGAGAUACGAAAGCGUGGGGAGCAAACAGGAUUAGAUACCCUGGUAGUCCACGCCGUAAACGAUGUGUGCUAGUUGUCGGGUCCAUACGAUUCGGUGACGCAGCUAACGCAUUAAGCACACCGCCUGGGGAGUACGGUCGCAAGAUUAAAACUCAAAGGAAUUGACGGGGACCCGCACAAGCGGUGGAGCAUGUUGUUUAAUUCGAAGCAACGCGCAGAACCUUACCAACCCUUGACAUCCUAUGACAACUCCAGAGAUGGAGCCUUCCUUCGGGACAUAGUGACAGGUGCU
rnacentral:rRNA from 1 species